UUGAACCCUGAGCCUAACUGUUGUAAGUAUACUAUACCGAACUAUUUACCAGUGUUUUUUUGAAACAUUGAUCAAUGUGUUUGUUGGUUUCUUGUUAUGCCACUAACAAGGCUAAAUAUAAGCAACAAUGAAUUAAUGCUCGGUGAACUUGUUACUUGUGGUAUUGAUGAUUUUUGUACAUGCAAAAAUAUUUUGUGGGGCCUCACCACCCUCAACUAGAAUUGAUACCUGUGUUUAGUUAAUACUUGAAAAUGUGACAAGCAAUGUAAAAUGACGAUCAUAAUCCUACACCACCUUGAAUUUAGAAUGAUUGACAAGCAAUUUGUCAUCCUUAGUGAUUACUAAUAUAUUUUGACAAGAUUUUAGCCAUGAUGGCUGAUAUUUUUGCAUAAUAAUAUUAAGAUUUGGAAUUGGAAUGCUAAUUCUAGGAUAGGAUAAGCAACAAGAUCAUGUUUUGCCAGAAUUGGUUGUAUUUCAUCCUUUCAUGGUUCAAAUGCCGCAAUGAUCAUAUAUAUUGUAAAUAUUCAUCUUUGAUUAAGCUUUACAAUUUAGAGUUUCCAUUUGUUCUGAACUGAAUAAUAUUUGAUGCAAAUUACAUCUGUCACGUGCAAGCAUCAUUUGAUUAAGACUUGCAGUGUUACAUGACUCUGGUAAAUAUUUGUGUAUCUCAAAAUGAACAUUUUUGUUGUUACUUAUGAUAUAACUGUAGCUGCUAAUAUUUUUGUCAUCCUGUUAUUAUCUGUCAAUAAUUUAUGGUAUGUUCCAGACUGUAUUCUUUCUAGCAUAUCUUACGAUAUUUAUCAUGGUUUACUUGUGUUUCAAGGGCCUUGAGAUAUGUUACGACGGAGCUGUUUAAUAAGGUAUUUGCUUCGGUCCCGGAAGAUGUGAGAUACCAUGAAGAACUAUUUGAGAAGGUGUCUUUGCUACAGCAGUUUGUACAUCCUAAAAACUUGGAUAUAAAACCAGAAUAUCAGAAUGAAGCAGUUUGUACAUCCUGAAAACUUGGAUAUAAAACCAGAAUAUCAGAAUGAAACGUCAUGGCUGCCAGUUGAAAUUGUCGCCCCCUUAUCACAUGCUAGUUUAAUCAACCACACCAGCAGAAGAUAACUUUGACAUGGCUCUCCAAGCUGAUGCUUGAGACCCCCUACGUGAUUGCAAUUAUAGCGCACCGAGCUUCUCCUGUUCCAGCUUGAAGUGAUGUAGCACAUGGAAUCGUAUUGUUUUCUGCUUUAUAUUGUUCUACGGAAUACUGUGCUUCCAACCAUGUACACUCAAACAUCUGAUUUUGAUGUUACAUACUGUGAUGGUACUGGUAUUCCAGAUUA